UACGGAGGGUGCAAGCGUUAAUCGGAAUUACUGGGCGUAAAGCGUGCGUAGGUGGUUCGUUAAGUCCGUUGUGAAAGCCCCGAGCUCAACUUGGGAAUUGCAGUGGAUACUGGCGAACUGGAGUGUGGCAGAGGGGGGUGGAAUUCCGCGUGUAGCAGUGAAAUGCGUAGAGAUGCGGAGGAACACCGAUGGCGAAGGCAGCCCCCUGGGCUAACACUGACGCUCAGGCACGAAAGCGUGGGGAGCAAACAGG
rnacentral:rRNA from 1 species